GGAAUCUGCUGGCUAUUAUCUAUCUAGUUUCAUAUGAACAUUGCUAAGAGUAGUCAUGGAUCUGCUGGCUAAUCUCUGUUCUGGCCAUCAUGUCCUUACCAGAUUCUUAGCCUCCAUUCCAUUCUAGUGUUUAGGUAGUCAUGUAAUUUGUAUCAUACUGUAGGAACCCAAACUAAUGCUUCGUUUAAUUUCUGUAUGUUUCUGUUUCAUUCUUUCCAUCCAUUCCUUACAUAUCCUCAGUUCUAGCUGCUAUCCUUCUUUACAUAGAUAGUCUGAUGACUUAUUUGUUAGGUUCCUUGUCCCUGAUGAAUUGGUUACUUGACAGUUAAAUCUCCUUUUCUUAACAUCCUCAUUCCCUUUCUUUUUCUCAUACCUCACCUAAAUCUUAU
rnacentral:misc_RNA from 1 species